GUACACUCCUACGGGAGGCAGCAGUGGGGAAUUUUGGACAAUGGGCGAAAGCCUGAUCCAGCAAUGCCGCGUGAGUGAAGAAGGCCUUCGGGUUGUAAAGCUCUUUUGUCAGGGAAGAAACGGUGAGAGCUAAUAUCUCUUGCUAAUGACGGUACCUGAAGAAUAAGCACCGGCUAACUACGUGCCAGCAGCCGCGGUAAUACGUAGGGUGCAAGCGUUAAUCGGAAUUACUGGGCGUAAAGCGUGCGCAGGCGGUUUUGUAAGUCUGAUGUGAAAUCCCCGGGCUCAACCUGGGAAUUGCAUUGGAGACUGCAAGGCUAGAAUCUGGCAGAGGGGGGUAGAAUUCCACGUGUAGCAGUGAAAUGCGUAGAUAUGUGGAGGAACACCGAUGGCGAAGGCAGCCCCCUGGGUCAAGAUUGACGCUCAUGCACGAAAGCGUGGGGAGCAAACAGGAUUAGAAACCCUGGUAGUCCCAUG
rnacentral:rRNA from 1 species